CCUACGUGAGGCUGCAGUGAGGAAUAUUGGUCAAUGGGAGGAAUCCUGAACCAGCCAUGCCGCGUGCAGGACGACGGCUCUACGAGUUGUAAACUGCUUUUGUACCGGGGUAAAAUGCCUUACGUGUAGGGUUUUGAAAGUACGGUACGAAUAAGGAUCGGCUAACUCCGUGCCAGCAGCCGCGGUAAUACGGAGGAUCCGAGCGUUAUCCGGAUUCAUUGGGUUUAAAGGGUGCGUAGGUUGUUUUAUAAGUUAGCGGUGAAAUACCGAUGCUCAACAUCGGGGCUGCCGCUAAUACUGUAGGACUAGAGAUCGGAUGCAGCAGGCGGAAUGUGUAGUGUAGCGGUGAAAUGCAUAGAUAUCGCGCAGAACCCCGAUUGCGAAGGCAGCGUGCCGUGCCGCCACUGACGCUGAGGCACGAAAGCGCGGGGAUCGAACAGGAUUAGAUACCCUUGUAGUC
rnacentral:rRNA from 1 species